rnacentral:rRNA from 1 species
AUUGAACGCUGGCGGCAUGCCUUACACAUGCAAGUCGAACGGCAGCGGGCCUUCGGGUGCCGGCGAGUGGCGAACGGGUGAGUAAUGCAUCGGAACGUGCCAUUGAGUGGGGGAGUAACGUAGCGAAAGUUGCGCUAAUACCGCAUAUUCUGUGAGCAGGAAAGCAGGGGACCGCAAGGCCUUGCGCUCUUUGAGCGGCCGAUGUCAGAUUAGCUAGUUGGUGAGGUAAAGGACUUACCAAGGCGACGAUCUGUAGCGGGUCGUGAGAGGAUGAUCCGCCACACUGGAACUGAGACACGGUCCAGACUCCUACGGGAGGCAGCAGUGGGGAAGUUUUGGUACGAAAUGGGGGCGGAACCCUACGAUCCACGCCACUGCCG